GAGUUUGAUCAUGGCUCAGGACGAACGCUGGCGGCAUGCCUAACACAUGCAAGUCGAACGAAUUGUUUCCUUCGGGGAACAGUUAGUGGCGAACGGGUGAGUAAUGCAUGAGCAAUCUGCCCCUAACAACGGGAUAACUCCUAGAAAUAGGUGCUAAUACGGUAUAAGACCACGCUGUCGCAUGACAGCGCGGUAAAAGCGAUUUAGCGGUUAGGGAUGAGCUCAUGUCCCAUUAGCUAGUUGGUGAGAUAAUAGCCCACCAAGGCGACGAUGGGUAGCCGACUUGAGAGAGUGAUCGGCCACAUUGGGACUGAAACACGGCCCAGACUCCUACGGGAGGCAGCAGUGGGGAAUAUUGGGCAAUGGAGGAAACUCUGACCCAGCAAUGCCGCGUGAGUGAUGAAGGUAAUUUUAUUGUAAAGCUCUUUUCUCGGGAACGAAGAAAAUGACGGUACCCGAGGAAUAAGCCCCGGCUAACUACGUGCCAGCAGCCGCGGUAAUACGUAGGGGGCGAGCGUUGUUCGGAAUUACUGGGCGUAAAGGGUGUGUAGGCGGUUUGAUAAGUUAGAAGUGUAAUACCCAGGGCUUAACUCGGGUGCUGCUUCUAAAACUGUCAGACUUGAGUGCAGGAGAGGUAAGUGGAAUUCCUAGUGUAGCGGUGGAAUGCGUAGAUAUUAGGAGGAACAUCAGUGGCGAAGGCGACUUACUGGACUGUAACUGACGCUGAGGCACGAAAGCGUGGGGAGCAAACAGGAUUAGAUACCCUGGUAGUCCACGCCGUAAACGAUGGAUACUAGAUGCAGGGGGUAUUGACUCCUCCUGUGUCGCAGCUAACGCAAUAAGUAUCCCGCCUGGGGAGUACGGCCGCAAGGUUGAAACUCAAAUGAAUUGACGG
rnacentral:rRNA from 1 species